GUGGCUUCACGUGAUCAGGGAGGAGCUUCAGUCACGUGAUGACAUUGUGAGUUCAGAGCUUGAGUUCAGAAGGAGAAGCAGAGUUGACAGAAAUUUCUUAAACAUGUUGCUGUCAGUUUGGUUGCUGAUUAUCACAACGGUGGCCGGCACCAGCAGCGAGCUGGUGGCAGGCACAACUGAAAUGCUGGCAUCAAAAGGCAGUCGACACUGUCAUACGUUUAUGCCAAAAAGUCAAUGAGUCGUCAUUAUAUAUUCUGGUACAAACAAGUUCCUGGACAAGCGCCACACUUCCUUUCCCACUUUGGAAAUGGCAAACCAUUAAACGGCAGCACCAGAAUGUCGGUCAGCAUGACAAGUGACAGGGAGCGAGUGCACCUGCACAUCGAGGAUGUGUCGCUUGAGCAUUCUGCAGUUUACAAUAAACUGUUUACUACUGUGCUGUGACACCCACAGUGACACACACGCCACAUUCUCGUGACAAGAACAUUUCCUGCUCCUGGACUCAUCACACUCACUUCU